AUAACACGAGGAAACUUGUGCUAAUACCUCAUAAGUCUUUACGGAGAAAGCUUUAUGCGCCAAUGGAUGAGCCUGCACUUGAUUAGUUUGUUGGUGGGGUAAUGGCCUACCAAGACUUUGAUCAAUAGCUGAUCUGAGAGGAUGAUCAGCCACAUUGGGACUGAGACACGGCCCAAACUCCUACGGGAGGCAGCAGUAGGGAAUAUUGCACAAUGGAGGAAACUCUGAUGCAGCGAUGCCGCGUGAGUGAAGAAGGCCUUUGGGUUGUAAAGCUCUUUCGUCGGGGAAGAAAAUGACGGUACCCGAAUAAGAAGGUCCGGCUAACUUCGUGCCAGCAGCCGCGGUAAUACGAAGGGACCUAGCGUAGUUCGGAAUUACUGGGCUUAAAGAGUUCGUAGGUGGUUAAAAAAGUUGGUUGUGAAAUCCCGAAGCUUAACUUCGGAACUGCAAUCAAAACUUUUUAGCUAGAGUAUGAUAGAGGAAAGCAGAAUUUCUAGUGUAGAGGUGAAAUUCGUAGAUAUUAGAAAGAAUACCAAUUGCGAAGGCAGCUUUCUGGAUCAUUACUGACGCUGAGGAACGAAAGCAUGGGUAGCGAAGAGGAUUAGAUACCCUCGUAGUCCAUGCCGUAAACGAUGUGUGUUAGACGUUGGAAAUUUAUUUUCAGUGUCGCAGCGAAAGCAGUAAACACACCGCCUGGGGAGUACGACCGCAAGGUUAAAACUCAAAUGAAUUGACGGGGACCCGCACAAGUAGUGGAGCAUGUGGUUUAAUUCGAAGAUACGCGCAGAACCUUACCAACACUUGACAUGUUCGUCGCGGCUCUAAGAGAUUAGAGCUUUCGGUUCGGCCGGACGAAACACAGGUGCUGCAUGGCUGUCGUCAGCUCGUGUCGUGAGAUGU
rnacentral:rRNA from 1 species